GACGAACGCUGGCGGCGUGCUUAACACAUGCAAGUCGAACGGACAGGCCCUGCUUUUGUGGGGUGCUCGAGUGGCGAACGGGUGAGUAACACGUGAGUAACCUGCCCUUGACUUUGGGAUAACUUCAGGAAACUGGGGCUAAUACCGGAUAGGAGCUCCUGCUGCUUGGUGGGGGUUGGAAAGUUUCGGCGGUUGGGGAUGGACUCGCGGCUUAUCAGCUUGUUGGUGGGGUAGUGGCUUACCAAGGCUUUGACGGGUAGCCGGCCUGAGAGGGUGACCGGCCACAUUGGGACUGAGAUACGGCCCAGACUCCUACGGGAGGCAGCAGUGGGGAAUAUUGCACAAUGGGCUGAAGCCUGAUGCAGCGACGCCGCGUGCGGGAUGACGGCCUUCGGGGUAUAAACCGCUUUCGCCUGUGACGAAGCGUGAGUGACGGUAAUUGGUAAAGAAGCACCGGCUAACUACGUG
rnacentral:rRNA from 1 species